AUUACUAACACAGUUAUAAAGCACAGCAGUGAGGAGGAAGAGGAAGACUGGGGGCUUGCUUAAAGAUGUACGAAUGCUGGGCUAGAGUUGAAUCCCAGACUGGUCACUUGGACAGACUCUGGAUCUAUUCUUGACACUCCUGAGCCUCCAACUCCUCAUCUAGAAGCAUGAAGGCAGUAAUAUCUACCCCAGACAAUGGAAAUGACACGGCAGAGCUCUGCGAAUCAGGAAGAAGGUGACUUGGCCAUGAUGAGAGACUGCACACAGCUACCAUCUUAUCUUCAUAAGCAUGACGGUCACUGUAGAGUCAGCUGUAAGACAGUUAAUAGGACAUGAUAAAGAUGACAAGAUGCUUGGUCAUAUUUCCUGAACAAGCGCUGCAUACAAGUGAGGAAUAAGAGAAGUUGCCCUCCCUCUCCAUACCACAUUUAUCCUAAAUAAGGGUGGGAGGGCAAAAGAAGAGAACAGAAAAAGGUGUGUCCUCAUCUCUUUUGUUUGUCAUCGAUGAGGAAAGAACAAAAAAUACUUCUCUGUCAGGAUGAAGUUCUAUCCACUCAGUGGUCUGAUCAAAGGAUGACUGGGAUCCGUCACGGCUGUGUCUUAUCCUAACUCCACCAGCUGAUCCGGUUUCCAAACUGCUCUGUCUCACCCCAGACUCCUCAAGCUCUUCCUUUUCUUACUCAGAGGCUUCCAGGUAGAGAUUCUGCCUCUCCGACAGCAGGGUCAUGAACCAGGAAGGGCAUCUCUUUGGUCAUAUUGUGCUACAGAGUUAAAUCAACCCACCAAAUUAAAUGGGUAGUUUCAAGUUCACGGAGCAAUGGCAAAAAUCAACCAGGAGGCUUCCUUUGGUACGGAAGGGUGACGUCCAUGUUUCUGCGUGGGUCUCCUUCCUUUCACUGAAGUACACCCAGCUCCAUAUCA